GAUUUGAAAUUAUUCUUAAAAGAAGAAAGGAGGGCAUUAGGUGGGUUUGUAAUAUCAAACUGAAAGAGGAAGGAAACCCUAAUGAGGUGAGGAGGUAUACAAAACUUGGUGUCCUAUAACUUGCAGAAGGACCAAAAUGUUGGGGAUUGGUUUUUGAACCAAGAGGAGGAGAGGAACUAUAACACCCCAAAAUCGUGAGCUUCACAAUGGGCCAAAACGAAUAAUAGCGGUAGGUUUGAGCUGUUACAAGUGAUAUCAAAGCCCGAUAUCGGACGAUGUACUAGCGAGGACGUUGGUUCCCAAGAAAUAUCUAAUGGAGAGAGAAACGGAACAUUUUUUACGAGGGUAUAGAAAU